GACGAACGCUGGCGGCGUGCUUAACACAUGCAAGUCGAACGGAAAGGCCCAGCUUGCGUGGUACUCGAGCGGCGAACGGGUGAGUAACACGUGAGUAAUCUGCCCUGGACUCUGGGAUAGCCACCGGAAACGGUAAUUAAUACCGGAUAUGACACCUUGCUGCAUGGUGGGGUGUGGCACGUUUUGUCGGCACAGGAUUUGCUCGCGGCCUAUCAGCUUGUUGGUGCGGUAAUGGCUCACCAAGGCUUUGACGGGUAGCCGGCCUGAGAGGGUGACCGGUCACACUGGGACUGAGACACGGCCCAGACUCCUACGGGAGGCAGCAGUGGGGAAUAUUGGACAAUGGGCGGAAGCCUGAUCCAGCAACGCCGCGUGAGGGAUGACGGCCUUCGGGUUGUAAACCUCUUUCAGUACCGACGAAGCGUGAGUGACGGUAGGUACAGAAGAAGGACCGGCCAACUACGUGCCAGCCGCCGCAGUAAAAC
rnacentral:rRNA from 1 species